CGACAUGGAGCCCAGCGAGAGCCCUGGAGAACCGAAACCUUGCAGAGAGGAGAUCUCAGCACUGCUCAGGGAAUAUUCUGAAACAACAACAACGCGCUGCCAAGCAAAAACAGUGGAGUCAUUGCGUUCCUCGCUGUGGUUGGCCUCACCCCUCAACAACAUGACCUCAUCCUGGCCUCUGCUCUAUCUGCUUAUGACGUCAUCCCCAAUGAAGUAACCAGAUGCUACAAAAGGAAGAAACUCAGAGGAGGAGAACGAGAUUGGACAGCACUACGUCUUAAACAAUGAAAAU